GAUGAACGCUGGCGGCGUGCCUAAUACAUGCAAGUCGAGCGAACGGACGAGAAGCUUGCUUCUCUGAUGUUAGCGGCGGACGGGUGAGUAACACGUGGAUAACCUACCUAUAAGACUGGGAUAACUUCGGGAAACCGGAGCUAAUACCGGAUAAUAUUUUGAACCGCAUGGUUCAAAAGUGAAAGACGGUCUUGCUGUCACUUAUAGAUGGAUCCGCGCUGCAUUAGCUAGUUGGUAAGGUAACGGCUUACCAAGGCAACGAUGCGUAGCCGACCUGAGAGGGUGAUCGGCCACACGGGAACUGAGACACGGUCCAGACUCCUACGGGAGGCAGCAGUAGGGAAUCUUCCGCAAUGGGCGAAAGCCUGACGGAGCAACGCCGCGUGAGUGAUGAAGGUCUUCGGAUCGUAAAACUCUGUUAUUAGGGAAGAACAGAUGUGUAAGUAACUGUGCACAUCUUGACGGUACCUAAUCAGAAAGCCACGGCUAACUACGUG
rnacentral:rRNA from 1 species